rnacentral:rRNA from 1 species
GACGAACGCUGGCGGCGUGCUUAACACAUGCAAGUCGAGCGGAAAGGCCCUGCUUGCAGGGUGCUCGAGUGGCGAACGGGUGAGUAACACGUGGGUGAUCUGCCCCUUACUUUGGGAUAAGCCUGGGAAACUGGGUCUAAUACUGGAUAGGACCAUGCUGUAGGUGGUGUGGUGGAAAGAUUAGUUUCGGUAAGGGAUGAGCUCGCGGCCUAUCAGCUUGUUGGUGGGGUAAUGGCCUACCAAGGCGUCGACGGGUAGCCGGCCUGAGAGGGUGGACGGCCACAUUGGGACUGAGAUACGGCCCAGACUCCUACGGGAGGCAGCAGAGGGGAAUAUUGCACAAUGGGCGCAAGCCUGAUGCAGCGACGCCGCGUGGGGGAUGACGGCCUUCGGGUUGUAAACUCCUUGCAGCCAUGACGAAGCCCUUGUGGUGACGGUAGUGGUAGAAGAAGCACCGGCUAACUACGUG